rnacentral:ncRNA from 1 species
ACAGUACAAACUGAACAGGCGGCCGUCCCCAUGUGGGGCGCGGUGCGCCGGGCCGCAGCGUGCGGCAGCAGAUGAAAAUGCACAGGCACAUCUGCGGGACAGU